rnacentral:rRNA from 1 species
CAGCCGUAAACUAUGCGCGUUAGGUGUAUCGGUGACCACGAGUUACCGAGGUGCCGAAGGGAAACCGUGAAACGUGCCGCCUGGGAAGUACGGUCGCAAAGGCUGAAACUUAAAGGAAUUGGCGGGGGAGCACCACAACAGGUGGAGCCUGCGGUUUAAAUUGGACUCAACGCCGGGAAGCUCACCGGAUAGGACAGCAGAAUGAUUGCCGGGCUGAAGACUCUGCAUGACUAGCUGAGAGGAGGUGCAUGGCGUAGACGUCU